rnacentral:ncRNA from 1 species
GUUAUUUUGGACUAUGCUAUUAGUCUAAGUCCUUAACUGGACUCCGUUAUUUGGGUCAAGACACCUACGGAUACUCCUCAAGUCUGUAGCCCUGUCGUUCCUUAGAGUCAUGGG